GGCUUUAUGGGCUGAAGCCUAGACAACAUUUUGGGCUAAAAACCCUUAAGUAUAUAUACUUCAGCCCAUACCAGCCCAAAGAAAAAAUAUAUAUUAGAGGUUUGAUUCGCGUCAUCGCGUGUAUCCCAUCUCCCAGCCCACAGCAGCAGCAGCAGACAGCCUCUGAGCCUCACGCAUCCAAAGUCCUCCCACAGCAGCAGACAGCCUCACGCAUCCAAAGACCAAAGUCCUCACUGUCUCUACUCUCUAGUGUUUCGAUGGAGGCACGGAGGUUAUCCGGACUCCGGUUAGGCUAAAUCGAUUGAAACAACUCAAGUCUCAAACAAAGAUUGGAGAAUUUUGAGUUUUGGUGAUAGUGAUUGGGUUUAUGCACAAUACUGAGAUCGUUGUUGAUGUCCUUUCCAUAUCUGAUAUGGAGUGUGAGUAUUUUCUAGCAGAUAUUCGUAAGGAUCCAAGAUUUGCCAACACAACUACUGUGUCUGAUUUGUGUCGACGGUUAGUUGAAUCAAGAAAGUCAGUAUUCUUUCCUAUGAUUUAUAGAUUGAUUUGUCUUGUACUAACUCUGCCAGUUUCUACAGCAACAACAGAGAGAGCAUUUUCAUCUAUGACCAUCAUAAAAAGCAAACUUCGAAAUAAGAUGAAAGAUGAGUUUUUUUGAUAAUUUGAUAGUUGUCUACAUUGAAAAUGAAUUUUCUGAUAGCAUUGAUAAUGAUUAUGUGAUUGCUGAGUUUGAAGUGAGUGGAUCUCGGAGGGUACGAUUUAGUUAGUUUAUUGUUGUUUUACAACAAAUGUAUACUUGUAGUUUUUAAUUUACGGGGUUUGGUUUUAUGGACCUCCGUUGUAUGUUUUGAUCCAAAAUAAUAAAGGCGUGAGGAUGAGCCUCCCACUGGGUUCCAAAUCUAAAAAAAAAAAAAAAUUAUUGUGCCCUUCUAAUUAGCCUAGACAGGAAUUUGAUCAUGGUUCCGCCACUGGUUGUAAUAGAGUUUUGAAUUAGAGAUAUUCUAAGAGAUAUUCAUAG